GACGGAGUGAUACAUCCCUACUAUUAGCAGCUUGGUUCGUAGGAACUUUCUCUCACCUGGCAGGUAAUUUCAAGCUCACCUAGAGAAGGCAGCGAAAUUUAGCAACCCAGAGACGAAACGUGGGAUCUUUUAAUGAUGUUAUCAAAGUUAAACCAGGAAAAAUAGCAACUCUUCAGAAAAAAAUGGCUUCUGCUAGCUGGAGGGAAAGUUGCUAACUGUGAGGUUUCCAGUUGCGCAAAAAAAGCCUGAAGAGAGAAAACAAGCUUGGAUCUCUGGAGAAUGUCUGGCCAAGGUGAUUUGGAUUUAAAUAUGGAGGUGGUUUUGUCUCCUGCUGGUCAAACUGCAGAAAGGAAGUCACAACCAGACAGCAGGAGGGUGGAAGAGAUGAGGGUGAGUACAGAUGAUGCUGAGGAGGAGGAGGAAUUGAUGACCUCUGCUCAUCUGGAGGCGAGCACUUUACCGUGGCCGGGAGACAAAGACAUGAACCUCCUAUUGGGUCAAAACGAGGAAGUCUCAGAAUCCGAGAGGGACACGGGGAUCAGCAGGGGAAGUCUGGACCUGUCAGAGGAGCACAGUCAGGCGGAGGGAGAUGUGAGGACCGAGGCCAAGUGGAGGGAGAGCAUGCCCGAAGGUGAAAGAUGGAGGGACGAUGAGAUCCAGGUGCAGGGGAAGGACAAAGGAGACGGGUCACUCGCAGACGAUGAGGAGGAAGAAGACGAGGAGGAAGAAGGAAAGGAGUGGAUGUCAGAGAAACCUUCUUUAGGUUUCACCCCGCGUGUUGAGAUUGUGUAUCCGACCAGAGAAGAUCUUCCUGAGCAGAGCCGGUCCUUCAGGGAGGAGAACGUGUUGAGGGAGCGGGAGAUGGAGCAGGAUUCGUACGCACGGUUUGACCCCGAGUGGGAAGAACAGGACGGCAAGCUCUAUCUGUGUGAGAAUGUGUGCAGUGAGAAACUGAAGCUGGUUUUAUCCACGAUGGCUGCGGUGCUCCUCUUUUGGUGUGGGGGGGUUAUGCCCUGAUUCCCUUUGAUCCUCCUCUGCUGAAGAGCGCCCCCCUCAGGGUGCUGUACACACUGCGCUGCUCGUUCUUUGCCAUCAUCCCCAUCAUGCUCGGUGUGCUGGUGCAGGGCGUGGCCCGGCUACAUUUCACCUCCAUCAAGCCCCUCUAUCAGCACCAGCUGGCAAACAAGGAAGUGAUGGUUCACUGGCACUACGUCAACGAGUCCUUGUCGCUCUUCCUCUUCUACUUCCUGCAGCUUGCGCUCAUGGCGACUUACAUCAGCCAGGACCUGGUUAAACUGGUGCCGCUGCUCACCAUUGUGUUCGUUUUCGGCAGGCUCAUCUACUGGCUUUGCCUCGCGCUGAACAGCACCAUCAGAGGCCUCGGCUUCGGCCUCUCCUUCUUCCCCAUCCUCGUCAUGCUGGGAGCCAACCUCUACUUCGUGUGCUCGUCGGUCGGACAGGAGUCGGUUUUUGACGUGGCGCCCCCUACGACGGCGCCCCCUCCCCGAAUGCGCUGGUGGUUUUAAAAACUGAACAAAAAAACAAAACACUGAUGUUCUAAAGGUUAACAGCUGCAGCACGGCUCACUCAGGUAUUUUUUUGUAUGUUUAUAAUCUAAUCUCAAAGAUUUAUGCCUCGAUUAAAGACGCGUGGUUGUCGUGGUAACAGCUGUUCAUGACAGCCCAGUUCAGCAUCAGAGAUGUUGGUACGUCUUCUGUGCUGCUAGAUAAACUCAGGUUUUAAUAUUUAGGCUGGAUUAUAUUUGUAAAUUGUAAAUCUACUCGGAUGCAGUGAAUGUUGACCAAAGGUUCUAUUUAAUUUGACUCAAAUGUAAAAUGAGAUGGUAAAUUAAUUCUAGUAUGGAUCUUUGUUUACAGAACAGUUUACUAAAUUUGCGCCUUUUAAAAGGACAAAAACUGUUUUGUUUAGAUCUGACAUUUGUCUUGUUUUUUACCAUAAAGUUUCACAAAGCAUCGUCUUUGAGGAAGUGAUGCAGCUAAUAAAAAGAUUAGAAAUAAAAAUAUAAAAUGUUUAUGUGAAAAUAGAAAAUGGGAACCUGGAAAACAAUAUUAACAGCAACUUCACACAACCAGUUUCCUUAUUAAACACAAAAAAUAUUUUUUCAUUUAACUUUAUAGCUGUUCAAACUGAAACUCACAUUAAUCUAAUUUUCAUCAUGUUUUAGACACAAAAUCUGACCGAUUAAAUAUGAAAAUCACAUUUUUGUUUGUUUUUCCCGUUUUUGCUUUCAUAAAGAUCACAUUUAUGACCAAAACAAAUGACUGGAUUCAUGGAAAAAUAUUAAACAAUCUAUAAAGAAUAAAAUGAUAUGAUGUAUUUAAUUUAUGUAUAUAUAUUUAGUUUUUUUUUUAGCAUCAGCAUUAUUUCUGUUGCUAGUGAAAAUCUUUACUUUUAUAACCUGCUGAAUGCUUUUUGAUUUUGUCUUGUUUACAGCAGCAUCUUUGUGUUUUUGGAUUUAUGUUGAUAAAGGAGAUGAUCGAUAAUUUGGAUGUUGAUUGAGUUCAAUAAAGCUUCAUAAAACAUG